rnacentral:rRNA from 1 species
AGAGUUUGAUCCUGGCUCAGGAUGAAUGCUGGCGGCGUGCCUAACACAUGCAAGUCGAGCGGUAACAUGAAUAAUUUAUUAUUUGAUGACGAGCGGCGGACGGCUGAGUAACGCGUGGGAACAUGCCCCAAAGUGAGGGAUAAGCUCCAGAAAUGGAGUCUAAUGCCGCAUAUGAUCUUCGGAUUAAAGGAUUUAUCCGCUUUGGGAGUGGCCUGCGUACGAUUAGAUAGUUGGUGAGGUAAUGGCUUACCAAGUCUACGAUCGUUAGCUGGUCUGAGAGGAUGACCAGCCAGACUGGAACUGAGACACGGUCCAGACUCCUACGGGAGGCAGCAGUGAGGAAUCUUCCACAAUGGGCGAAAGCCUGAUGGAGCAACGCCGCGUGCAGGAUGAAGGCCUUCGGGUUGUAAACUGCUUUUAUAAGUGAAGAAUAUGACGGUAACUUAUGAAUAAGCACCGGCUAACUACGUGCCAGCAGCCGCGGUCAUACGUAGGGUGCAAGCAUUAUCCGGAGUGACUGGGCGUAAAGAGUUGCGUAGGUGGACAAGUAAGCGAAUAGUGAAAUCCGACGGCUCAACCGUAUGGACUAUUACUCGAACUGCUUGUCUCGAGAAUGGUAGAGGUAACUGGAAUUUCUAGUGUAGGAGUGAAAUCCGUAGAUAUUAGAAGGAACACCAAUGGCGUAGGCAGGUUACUGGACCAUUUCUGACACUGAGGCACGAAAGCGUGGGGAGCGAACCGGAUUAGAUACCCUGGUAGUCC